CCUCUUAAUGAUUUUGAGCUAAUCUCCUUCAUUUUGGCUGGUGUUUGGAUCUGACUAUGAUUCAUUUGUCACAUCCGUUACUACACAGGUUGAUCCUCUCUCCAUUGAGGACUUAUACGGGCACUUACUAGCCCAUAAAC